UACAGAGGGGGCAAGCGUUGUCCGGAAUCAUUGGGCGUAAAGCGCGCGUAGGCGGCCUCAUAAGUCCGUUGUGAAAGUCAAAGGCUCAACCUUUGAAAGCCGAUGGAUACUGUGAGGCUAGAGUCCGGAAGAGGCGAGUGGAAUUCCUGGUGUAGCGGUGGAAUGCGCAGAUAUCAGGAGGAACACCAAUAGCGAAGGCAGCUCGCUGGGACGGUACUGACGCUAAGGCGCGAAAGCGUGGGGAGCAAACAGG
rnacentral:rRNA from 1 species